rnacentral:tmRNA from 1 species
GGGGCUGACUGGCUUUGACAGCGUGUAGAAGCGGUAGGUAAGCAUGCAGAGUUUUGGUGUUCAAACUCUAUAAUAUCAAGAGCAUCGACCUAUAAUUGGCGAAAAUAAUAACUACGCUCUCGCUGCGUGACCCGAAGUAUAGUAAGGUCCCUUUAUUCGCCUCACAGGUGAGGUGAACGAGACAUCAUCCCAUUGCCCGGUUCCGAGACGUUUGGAUAAGAUGGUGCAAAUAAAAUCGGAAAUAGGGAGAAGAAAGUUCCGGUCUUUUCCCGAAAUUUAGGAACUAAGGUUCACGUUGGUUGUCUUGAGCCUGCGUGAGCACGAAAAUCAAUUCAAAGACUAAGCAUGUAGAAAACUUAUUGGUUCCGCGUUUGGACGAGGGUUCAAUCCCCUCCAGCUCCACU